GCGAACGGGAUUAGAUACCCUGGUAGUCCACGCUGUAAACGAUGUCGAUUUGGAGGUUGUGCCCUUGAGGCGUGGCUUCCGGAGCUAACGCGUUAAAUCGACCGCCUGGGGAGUACGGCCGCAAGGUUAAAACUCAAAUGAAUUGACGGGGGCCCGCACAAGCGGUGGAGCAUGUGGUUUAAUUCGAUGCAACGCGAAGAACCUUACCUACUCUUGACAUCCAGAGAACUUAGCAGAGAUGCUUUGGUGCCUUCGGGAACUCUGAGACAGGUGCUGCAUGGCUGUCGUCAGCUCGUGUUGUGAAAUGUUGGGUUAAGUCCCGCAACGAGCGCAACCCUUAUCCUUUGUUGCCAGCGGUUCGGCCGGGAACUCAAAGGAGACUGCCAGUGAUAAACUGGAGGAAGGUGGGGAUGACGUCAAGUCAUCAUGGCCCUUACGAGUAGGGCUACACACGUGCUACAAUGGCAUAUACAAAGAGAAGCGACCUCGCGAGAGCAAGCGGACCUCAUAAAGUAUGUCGUAGUCCGGAUUGGAGUCUGCAACUCGACUCCAUGAAGUCGGAAUCGCUAGUAAUCGUAGAUCAGAAUGCUACGGUGAAUACGUUCCCGGGCCUUGUACACACCGCCCGUCACACCAUGGGAGUGGGUUGCAAAAGAAGUAGGUAGCUUAACCUUCGGGAGGGCGCUUACCACUUUGUGAUUCAUGACUGG
rnacentral:rRNA from 1 species